GUCCCAAAAUUCUUGUCUUAGAUUUGUCUAGAUACGGAUGUAUCAAGUCACAUUUUAGUAUUAGAUACAUCUGUAUCUAGACAAAUCUAAGACAAGAAAUUUGNGUC
rnacentral:pre_miRNA from 1 species